GCGCCCGUAGCUCAGCUGGAUAGAGCAACGGCCUUCUAAGCCGUAGGUCGCAGGUUCGAAUCCUGCCGGGCGUGCCA
rnacentral:tRNA from 1 species